rnacentral:rRNA from 1 species
UACGUAGGGGGCAAGCGUUGUCCGGAAUCAUUGGGCGUAAAGAGCGUGUAGGCGGCCUGGUAAGUCCGCUGUGAAAGUCCAGGGCUCAACCCUGGAAUGCCGGUGGAAACUGUCAGGCUCGAGUCCGGAAGAGGCGAGUGGAAUUCCUGGUGUAGCGGUGAAAUGCGCAGAUAUCAGGAGGAACACCAAUGGCGAAGGCAGCUCGCUGGGACGGUACUGACGCUGAGACGCGAAAGCGUGGGAGCGAACAGG